ensembl:lncRNA
GAUUAAUAGAACUACGUUUUACUAGCGGACCGAAAGUGUUACUGACGGGAAUCUACAGCAUCUUGAGCUGAAUUAAGACUUCAGAAUGAUCAGCGGAUAAACUCUCAGUGGUUUUGCUGUUCGUCAUCGCUGGACUCUUUUCUCCGUGCUCUUUCCUCACAUCAGGUGGAAACGGCAUGAAUGUAUAUUACUGCGAGACUGAGGGCUGUGUCAAUGAUGUAAAGCGUGUUUUCUGUGAGGAUGUAGAGCUCCUGCGUAACAAAGAGAUUUCAAAUUGUUCCUACGGUCCGCUUCCACCCAAUACCAUCUGCCAACACAGAGGCCGCUUGUUUGUCUCCACCUUCUUAAAUUCCUGUGAAUUUGAAGGGGACACGGGAUAUAUAGACACCAAAACUUGUACAGACUGCUCUUUUUUAAAUAGAGCUACCACACCGGCAGUCACCCCAAGCACUGUGGAAACAUCUUCGCAGCCCAAUUCCAAACUUCUAGGCGUCGUGCCCGCAGUAGUCUGUUCUACAGGUGUGGUACUGCUGUUAGCGGGUUUCUUUUACAGAAAAGCAAAAAAUCAGCAACAACAAAGACGGACUCAAACCAGUCCUGGUUUGCAGAAUGACAGCUCAUUAGUCUAAUGCUUUGGAUGUAACAUCAUACUCCUGGUUCGAGGCCAGGGCAUGCCUCCACUAAGGGUCCUUCCUGCUACCCAAGCCUACUGUGAGGGACAACUGUAGCCAUGCCGGCUCGGACGUCGUCUUGAUUAAGGUCUGCAUGAGGUGUUGAAGAACCAGAAGAGUUUACAUAAGCAGACAGCAUCAUUCUGAUGCUCGCACUUUUGGCUAGUACUUAAAUAGGGCUUUUCCAAGUGAUGGCAACAUCAAGAAGAAGGAAUACUCAAUAGCAGAAUAAGCUGUUUAGUACUACCUGAAAGAAUUUGCCAAGUUUUUCAUGGGGGAAAUCCAAAAAUGUAUUUUCCUCACAAAUGUGACACAUUUAUGUGGAAAUACACAGGCUUUCCAACAUGGAAGUACAAAGAAGGAAUGUUACAACCAACUUUAUAUUAUCUGUAGAUGUAUUAUUAUGUGUGUAAAAAGAAAAUAAUCAUAUUUCUAACCAAAAUGGUUUUCCCUCUUUAAAAUUGUUUAUUUAUUCUUCUUCUCAUUAUGUUCUCUAUGAGACUGGCUGUUGUCAGGGCCCAUUUGUGCCCCUUUACAUACUUUUUUUUUAAUCCAGUGGUGCACUGAAUGAGAAGCAGGAAAGGAAGUGUACAUUUGAUUCAAAGAAAUGGGAUGUAGUCUAUAUUUACAGCUAUAUGCAGUAAACUUUGUUAUUAGAGACAAGGACAUUUAGUUAUUUCUGAACAUGUGUAAGGCUGUCAAACAGUAAUUGUUUUGGCCUUUUCUGAGAAGAAAACAGUUCUUUAUAGCACCUAAAAGUAUCACUACAGAAAUAUGCAUUGGUGGAUUUCUUUACAGAGAAGUGGGUGAAAAUUCCUCCAGAGCUGUGUGCACUCUUAUGCUUUUCAGCAAGGAUUCCUCCAUCAUGUAUCACAUCAGUGGUUCCCAAACUUUUUUUUUGCUAGUUUGGGCACAAACACAUCCUUCAACCACACACACCCAUUUUUGUUUUUCAAACUCCAUUGCAGUUUAUUUCACACCUCAAACCUUUUGUAAACAGUGAAACACAGAAAAGUAAACUGUAAUAAAUUACAGCUUGCAAUAAUAAACCACUAAACAAACCAUCUUUAUGGUGAAAUUAUUUUACGUAUAGUUGUUGUUGUUUUUUUACUGUGUAAGAAUAUUCAACCAUGCUAUCAAUACAUUUUUCAAAAAAUGUCUCUCUGUGCAAAAUGAGUUUAAAAACAUAAACAACUGUGGGAUACUGUUUGUCAGUGAUUUGAACCAGGAAAACAAAUUGUGG